GACGAACCGUGCGAACGUUGUUCGGAAUCACUGGGCUUAAAGGGCGCGUAGGCGGUCCGACAAGUCAAAGGUGAAAUCCCUCGGCUCAACUGAGGAACUGCCUUUGAAACUGUCGGACUUGAGUCCGGGAGAGGGUAGUGGAAUCCCAAUGUAGCGGUGAAAUGCGUAGAUAUUGGGAGGAACACCAGUGGCGAAGGCGGCUACC
rnacentral:rRNA from 1 species